GGAGAGUUGUCCGAGCUGGCCGAAGGAGCACGAUUGGAAAUCGUGUAACAUCUAAACGGGUGUUCGAGGGUUCGAAUCCCUUGCUCUCCG
rnacentral:tRNA from 1 species